rnacentral:tRNA from 2 species
GGGCGCUUGGCACAGGGGUAGCGCGCACGCUUCGCACAUCCGACUGCGUGAGGUCGUGGGUUCAAAUCCCACAGUGUCCA